GGCAGCAGCAGCAGCCGCCCCGCUCCCAGCCGCAGCGGCGAGGACCACAUCGUACUGCGGCGACUGGGCCGAGGGGGCCGGAGAGAAGGCGGCGGACACCCGCCCCCCUUUUCGGACACUUCUCUGCCCCCCGCCUACAACCGCUGGGGGGCGGCACUAGUGCCGGGGAGCCCACGGGCAGGGGCACAGGACCCCCCGUACACUCGGGGGGGUCUCCUCCUGAGGGGGGGUGAACCGGAGGAGAGGGCGGAGGCAGCAGGCGUGCGAGCAGGCUCUCUGCCGAGGGAAUUGGUGUAAUUGCCACAGAGAAGUUAUGUGAAUGGAAAAAGAAGUGUUGGGAGAGCUGAUAAGAGAAUCACGCUAUUAAAAUCUGAGAAUAUUUGAAUGGAAACCUUAAUAAUUACCGUAAAUAAAGGAGAAAGAAGAUUUUUGUGCCAGACUGAGGGAAGCUACCAGCAGUGCACUAGGAAAUCAAUGUCUUUCUUGAGCCUCCCUGGUUUAGAAGUAAAAACAACUGGCUCAGUUUGAAUGUAAAUAUCUGUGCUGCACAAAGUGAGGAAGAUACAAACCAAAGAGGGUUAUGUGUUUAGUUAAGGAUCAUUACCAUAAAAGUCUGGUUAACACUCCUAUAGCCUAUGAAUAAUAUUCCUAUAUAAUAUGAAUAAAUCUUUUGCUUCAGUGUUUGUCUCUUACCAACACUCAGUAUCUACCACAAGGCUCAUCUUUUCAAGUAGAAUGACAUUUACUAAUAAAAGACUAUAAAAAUUAAGUUGCAGAUAUAUAUCCAUAUUUAUUUAUUUUUAUUAUUAUAGAUACCAGAAACAAAACAUGUUGAUUCACGUAGUAUUGUGAGCCAUGUGGUAUUACAUGAAAAUGGCCUCCAGCUUGCUUAACUCUGCUUCAGUAGCAUGGCUUUUUAAUUCACCAACAAGUUCCUGUGUUGCUGCUUGCCUGCAUUAGGUGGGCAAAGCCCCCUUCUCCAAAGUUAUUUCAGGGGCUUAAUUUUCAAAGCAGUGAGUGGAGAUUUAGCUGCACAGUUUCCAUUGCUGUUACUGAGAAUCAUGAAACUGUAUAUCUCAAUGCACUGCUUAGAAAAUGUAUGUAUUGUUAACCGUUUCCCAGAACCUAACUGUCAUAGGUCAAGGCAACUGCAUUGUAUUGCUCCUCAUGGUUCACCAAGGGCACCCACCCUAGGCUUCUGG